rnacentral:rRNA from 1 species
UACGUAGGGGGCGAGCGUUGUCCGGAAUUAUUGGGCGUAAAGCGCGCGCAGGCGGCCGGUUAAGUCAGAUGUGAAAGGCUGCGGCUCAACCGCAGAGCGGCAUCUGAAACUGGCCGGCUUGAGUGCAGGAGAGGGGAGCGGAAUUCCCGGUGUAGCGGUGGAAUGCGUAGAGAUCGGGAGGAACACCAGUGGCGAAGGCGGCUCUCUGGCCUGUAACUGACGCUGAGGCGCGAAAGCGUGGGGAGCGAAC